UACGUAGGGUGCGAGCGUUAAUCGGAAUUACUGGGCGUAAAGCGUGCGCAGGCGGUUCGUUAAGUCAGAUGUGAAAGCCCCGGGCUCAACCUGGGAACUGCAUUUGAAACUGGCGGGCUUGAGUGUGGCAGAGGGGGGUGGAAUUCCGCGUGUAGCAGUGAAAUGCGUAGAUAUCCGGAGGAACACCGGUGGCGAAGGCGGCUUCCUGGACCGACACUGACGCUGAGGCGCGAAAGCUAGGGGAGCAAACGGG
rnacentral:rRNA from 1 species